rnacentral:rRNA from 1 species
UACGUAGGGUGCAAGCGUUGUCCGGAAUUAUUGGGCGUAAAGAGCUCGUAGGCGGUUUGUCGCGUCUGCUGUGAAAACUGGAGGCUCAACCUCCAGCCUGCAGUGGGUACGGGCAGACUAGAGUGCGGUAGGGGAGAUUGGAAUUCCUGGUGUAGCGGUGGAAUGCGCAGAUAUCAGGAGGAACACCGGUGGCGAAGGCGGGUCUCUGGGCCGAUACUGACGCUGAGGAGCGGAAGCGUGGGGAGCGAACAGG